rnacentral:tRNA from 1 species
GCCUGGGUGGCUCAGUCGGUUGAGCGUCUGACUUCAGCUCAAGUCACCAUCUCACGGUUCGUGAGUUCGAGCCCCGCGUCAGGCU